GUGCUCCCUUUGGCAGCACAUAUAUUAAAAUUGGAACGAUACGGGAGAGAUUAGCAUGGCCCCUGCACAAGGAUACACUGGGAAGGAGGCCACAGUCCCUGAUAGUU